rnacentral:lncRNA from 1 species
CUCAUUGUAAGAAAGCCCAAGAGUAAGCUAUGUGAGGUUGACGGCGAUGCUUAAAAAAGCAAUCGACUUACAAAGGUGUGAAAAAGGGGCUCGAUAUUAAAUCGAGAAAAGAAAUGAUUUUUUAUAAGUUAAAAAAUGGUUUCGAAUGCAUGAUGCAAUUAAAAGAAAAAAACAAAUCUAUAUUAUUAAACAAUAAUAAAUAAAUAAAAAGAAAUAUGAAUAAUAAAGCAUAAAUAUAAAAGAAAGAAAAACUACACCUAGG